rnacentral:rRNA from 1 species
UACGGGGGGAGCAAGCGUUGUUCGGAUUUACUGGGCGUAAAGGGCGCGUAGGCGGUCAGCACAAGUCAGUUGUGAAAUCUCCGGGCUUAACUCGGAAAGGUCAACUGAUACUGUGCGACUAGAGUGCGGAAGGGGCAACUGGAAUUCUCGGUGUAGCGGUGAAAUGCGUAGAUAUCGAGAGGAACACCUGCGGCGAAGGCGGGUUGCUGGGCCGACACUGACGCUGAGGCGCGAAAGCGUGGGGAGCGAUCCGG